rnacentral:rRNA from 1 species
CCUACGGGGGGCUGCAGUGGGGAAUAUUGGACAAUGGGGGGGAACCCUGAUCCAGCCAUGCCGCGUGUGUGAAGAAGGCCCUCGGGUUGUAAAGCACUUUCAGUGAGGAAGAACGCCUGGUGGUUAAUACCCAUCAGGAGAGACAUCACUCACAGAAGAAGCACCGGCUAACUCCGUGCCAGCAGCCGCGGUAAUACGGAGGGUGCGAGCGUUAAUCGGAAUUACUGGGCGUAAAGCGCGCGUAGGUGGCUUGAUAAGCCGGUUGUGAAAGCCCCGGGCUCAACCUGGGAACGGCAUCCGGAACUGUCAAGCUAGAGUGCAGGAGAGGAAGGUAGAAUUCCCGGUGUAGCGGUGAAAUGCGUAGAGAUCGGGAGGAAUACCAGUGGCGAAGGCGGCCUUCUGGACUGACACUGACACUGAGGUGCAAAAGCGUGGGUAGCAAACAGGAUUAGAUACCCCGGUAGUC